rnacentral:rRNA from 1 species
GACGAACGCUGGCGGCGUGCCUAAUACAUGCAAGUCGACCUUAGUGGCGAACGGGUGAGUAACACGUGGGUAACCUACCCAUCAGAAGGGGAUAACACUUGGAAACAGGUGCUAAUACCGUAUACUGAUGGAUGGACCCGCGGUGCAUUAGCUAGUUGGUGAGGUAACGGCUCACCAAGGCCACGAUGCAUAGCCGACCUGGGAGGAUGAUCAGCCACACUGGAACUGAGACACGGUCCAGACGCCUACGGGAGGCAGCAGUGGGGAAUAUUGGACAAUGGGCGAAAGUCUGAUCCAGCAAUGCCGCGUGAGUGAAGAAGGUCUUCGGAUUGUAAAGCUCUUUAGGUUGGGAGGCGUUAUCUACAGAAUAAGCAACGGCUAACUUCGUGCCAGCAGCCGCGGUAAUAC